AGACCACCCAGAGCGCUGGGUCAAGGCCAUACGGACAGCCGGGUCGAUCGCCGA
rfam:Clostridium sp. CAG:1013 genomic scaffold, scf278